UACCUUGUUACGACUUAGCCCCAGUCACUAGUUUUACCCUAGGCCGCUCCUUUCGGUUACGGACUUCAGGCACCCCCAGCUUCCAUGGCUUGACGGGCGGUGUGUACAAGGCCCGGGAACGUAUUCACCGCGCCAUGGCUGAUGCGCGAUUACUAGCGAAUCCAGCUUCACGAAGUCGAGUUGCAGACUUCGAUCCGAACUGAGACCGGUUUUCGAGAUUAGCAUCCUGUCACCAGGUAGCUGCCCUCUGUACCGACCAUUGUAACACGUGUGUAGCCCUGGACAUAAGGGCCGUGCUGAUUUGACGUCAUCCCCACCUUCCUCUCACCUUACGGUGGCAGUUUCGCUAGAGUCCCCUGCUUUACCAGAUGGCAACUAACGAUAAGGGUUGCGCUCGUUAUGGGACUUAACCCGACACCUCACGGCACGAGCUGACGACAACCAUGCAGCACCUUGCAGAAAGCCCCGAAGGGAAUUCCUAUCUCUAGAAAAUGCACUCUACAUUUAAGCCCAGGUAAGGUUCCUCGCGUAUCAUCGAAUUAAACCACAUGUUCCUCCGCUUGUGCGGGCCCCCGUCAAUUCCUUUGAGUUUCAACCUUGCGGCCGUACUCCCCAGGUGGAUUACUUAUCGCUUUUGCUUAGCCGCUGACAGUGUAUCGCCAACAGCGAGUAAUCAUCGUUUACGGCGUGGACUACCAGGGUAUCUAAUCCUGUUCGAUCCCCACGCUUUCGUGCCUCAGCGUCAGUGUCGGCUCAGUAAGCUGCCUACGCAAUUGGUGUUCCGUGUAAUAUCUAAGCAUUUCACCGCUACAUUACGCAUUCCGCCUACCUUAACCAAACUCAAGGCUAUCAGUAUCAAUGGCAGUUCUGCAGUUAAGCUGCAGGAUUUCACCACUGACUUAAUAGUCCGCCUACGCACCCUUUAAACCCAAUGAAUCCGGAUAAC
rnacentral:rRNA from 1 species